UCCGGCUUAUCACCGGCAGUCCCUCUAGAGUGCCCAACUAAAUGCUGGCAACUAAAGGCGAGGGUUGCGCUCGUUGCGGGACUUAACCCAACAUCUCACGACACGAGCUGACGACAACCAUGCAGCACCUGUCACCGGUCCAGCCGAACUGAAGAAACCCGUCUCCGGGUUCCGCGACGCCCAUGUCAAGGGCUGGUAAGGUUCUGCGCGUUGCUUCGAAUUAAACCACAUGCUCCACCGCUUGUGCGGGCCCCCGUCAAUUCCUUUGAGUUUCAGUCUCGCGACCGUACUCCCCAGGCGGCGAACUUAACGCGUUAGCUUCGAUACUGCGUGCCAAAUUGCACCCAACAUCCAGUUCGCAUCGUUUAGGGCAUGGACUAC
rnacentral:misc_RNA from 1 species